UGCUCAUGUUGGCAGCCAUAUACUAAAAUUGGAACUAUACAGAGAAGAUUAGCAUGGCCCUUGUGCAAGGAUUACACACAAAUUUGUGAAGUGUUCCAUAUAUAU
rnacentral:snRNA from 1 species